rnacentral:rRNA from 1 species
CGUAAACAAAGGGAAGCGAGCAUGUGAAUGUGAGCAAAUCCCAAAAAUAACGUCUCAGUUCGGAUUGUAGUCUGCAACUCGACUACAUGAAGCUGGAAUCGCUAGUAAUCGCGAAUCAGAAUGUCGCGGUGAAUACGUUCCCGGGUCUUGUACACACCGCCCGUCACACCAUGGGAGUCAGUAACGCCCGAAGCCGGUGACCCAACCAAACGGAGGGAGCCGUCGAAGGUGGGACCGAUAACUGGGGUGAAGUCGUAACAAGGUAAC